GUUCCUUGGAAAAGGACAGCUGAGAGGGUGAGACUCCCGUCCGCCUGGUGGAGUGAGUCGUUGUCAACGAGUCGAGUUGUUUGGGAUUGCAGCUCUAAUUUGGUGGUAAAUUCCAUCUAAAGCUAAAUAUUGGUGGGAGACCGAUAGCGUACAAGUACCGUGAGGGAAAGAUGCAAAGAACUUUGAAAAGAGAGUUAAAGAGUACCUGAAAUUGCUGAAACGGAAGCGAAGGAAACCAGUGUUUGUUGGUUCAUAUUUCCCUUGUCACUUGUGAUGUGGGCGCUGUGAGCUUGCGUGGGUUUGCUUUGGUUGAUUCCUUUGGAAGAGCGCAGUCAGAGUUGAUGUCU
rnacentral:rRNA from 1 species